ensembl:lincRNA
GUAGGUUGAAGAGAACAAAGUGAUUCGAAUUCAGUUGGAACUGGCUCAGGUUAAAGCUGACACUGACCAGAGAAUCCAUGAGAAAGAAGAGGAAUUUGAAGCUAUGAGGAGGAACCACCAGCAGGCCAUUGAGUCCCUGCAGGUCAAACUGAGGCAGAGGCUGAGGGCAGGGCAGAGGCACUUCGACUCAGGAAGAAGAUGAGGAAGGACCUGAGUGAGAUGGAAAUCCAGCUGGACCACGCCAACAAGAACAACAGUGAACUCAUGAAGACCCUGAAACGGCUGCAGUAGCAUGUCAAGGUAGCCAUCUGGGAGGAGGAAGAACUAACCCCAAAGCCAGCCUGCACCAGGAGAGCCGGAAGACUCAUGGGGAGCUAACUUCGGGUGUGACUUCAGCAAGGAUAAAAGAGCUGCCCGCAUGGCAGAACUCUGGCAACAGCAGGACCACUGUGUGCACCUGGAGGAAAUCAAAAAGCAUUAUAAGGUCACCAAUAAAGGCCUGCAGGCCACGAUGGAGGGGGCUGAGCAGCUCGCCCUGAAGGGAGGGAAUUGCACAAGCAUGACGCUGGAAACCAGAGUGAGGGCAGCAUUGAGCCAGGUGGAGUGGGGUGUCUUUUGCCAAAAACAUGCCCUGCGUAGGAUGAGGAGUUGGUUUGUACAAACGCUAGACAAGAAAAGGAAGUAGGGAUAAUGGUUCUGAUCUAUUUAUCCAAAGUUCCCCCCUGGCCUUCCCAGUCACCUUUCUCCCCAGAAUGUGUGUGGCCUCAAGCAAAGCAGCUCACAGUCUUCUUCUUGUCUCUGUUCCUGACAUCACUCCUCCCUCCUAUCACUCUGUUUGAGAAAACGGGCCUUAGUCUUUACCCCAUGAGACUCGGGCUAGAAGGGCACGGGAGGGUCAGUCACCCUGUGCAACUUCCUGACUCCUGUGCUUCCCGGAAGAGGAAACUUGAGCCUCAGAGGACAGUGACCGUCUGAUGACCACUGCAUGGGCCAGGAAAGGCACAGUCCACUGGAUGCUCUCAUCAAGGGCCCGUCUGCUCAGUUCUGGGCAGAGGGUGGACACUAUCAAAGAACUAGAGACAGAGCUGGAUGCAAGCAGGAAGGACACAUGGAGACAGUCAAGACGCUGCACAGGAAUCAACGCUGCCUUGGAAAGCUGGUCUUUGGCACGGAGGAGGACCACAAGACCAAGCAGUGCACGCAGGGACUGGUGGAGAAGCUGCAGAACAAACUGAAGGGCUACAAGCGGCAGAUUGAAGGCAAUGAGCACCCGCAUGCCGUCUCACUUCUCUAUCCCUAACACUUGCUUCCCAGCUGGGGUCAUCACCAGCAGAGAGUCUCAGGAUGAAGUAGGCGAGCUACAGAGUGGUAGGAGAUGAAGCCAGGAAGGUAGAAUAAGGUAAAGCCUGUUGGGUGCAAGUAUCCCACAAACUCCGUAAAGAAAUCUUACUCAUUUUACAAAUCCACUUGUAGGAUGUGAUAAGGAGCAGCCUUUCUCUCUUGGGAAUGCACUCAUGUUCCAGUAGCAAAGUAAGCCUCCAGACCCCUCAGGAGACAGCACAGUUCUUGGGGGGCACUGGAUCACAGGGAAUCACAUUCUGGCUCUCUCAAAGGCCUGGGUAGUGUCCAGGCUACUUGGAUUUGCCACGCCCAAAGAAGGUAUCCCUAAACCCUCACAACCUCACACAGAACAAGGUAGGUAUGGCCCCAUGGUAUCCGUGACAAGGGAAGAACCCUGUGCAAAAGCCCAGGGAUUUGCGGGGAGCUGCCUUUCUAGCAAGAAGGAACAAAGCUAUCAGAACCCCAGCUUUGACCCAUAUAGACCUUCUCGUUUCUUCUCUCUCUCUUCCAGUGUGAUAAAGGUCUCAACAGCAGCCCACUGAGAGGAAGAAAACGUGAAAAUAGAAACCUGGGUCUCUCCUGAGAAUGUUUACUAUGCAUAGGAAAGUGCACACCGAGUCAGGUGCUAGAGUACAGAUAGCUCUGGCUGGUGCAACACCCAGCCGUUCGAGGAACUCUACUCAGUGCAGCUUCUCUGUGAUGGCAUGAAGCACUUGAAUGUCUAACAGUGGGUCUGCUUUUGUCGAGACCUAACAUGUUCAUGCCCAUGACGGAAUAUGUAAGUUCUGUGACCUGGCUGUUCUCUAGAAAGGACUCCUCCUGUUGACAAUCGUAAUGCCUGUUCCAAUCUCACUUAAAUAAAAGAAACAUGCAAAAGAGAUU